rnacentral:rRNA from 2 species
UGGGGAAUUUUGGACAAUGGGGGAAACCCUGAUCCAGCCAUCCCGCGUGUGCGAUGAAGGCCUUCGGGUUGUAAAGCACUUUUGGCAGGGAAGAAACGGCGCCGGAUAACACCUGGCGUCACUGACGGUACCUGCAGAAUAAGCACCGGCUAACUACGUGCCAGCAGCCGCGGUAAUACGUAGGGUGCAAGCGUUAAUCGGAAUUACUGGGCGUAAAGCGUGCGCAGGCGGUUCGGAAAGAAGGAUGUGAAAUCCCAGGGCUUAACCUUGGAACUGCAUUCUUAACUGCCGGGCUAGAGUAUGUCAGAGGGGGGUAGAAUUCCACGUGUAGCAGUGAAAUGCGUAGAGAUGUGGAGGAAUACCGAUGGCGAAGGCAGCCCCCUGGGAUAAUACUGACGCUCAUGCACGAAAGCGUGGGGAGCAAACAGG